AGCGAACGCUGGCGGCAGGCCUAACACAUGCAAGUCGAACGAACCCUUCGGGGUUAGUGGCGGACGGGUGAGUAACACGUGGGAACGUGCCUUUAGGUUCGGAAUAACUCAGGGAAACUUGUGCUAAUACCGAAUGUGCCCUUCGGGGGAAAGAUUUAUCGCCUUUAGAGCGGCCCGCGUCUGAUUAGCUAGUUGGUGAGGUAAUGGCUCACCAAGGCUACGAUCAGUAGCUGGUCUGAGAGGAUGACCAGCCACAUUGGGACUGAGACACGGCCCAAACUCCUACGGGAGGCAGCAGUGGGGAAUCAUGCGCAAUGGGCGAAAGCCUGACGCAGCCAUGCCGCGUGGAUGAUGAAGGUCUUAGGAUUGUAAAAUCCUUUCACCGGUGAAGAUAAUGACUGUAGCCGGAGAAGAAGCCCCGGCUAACUUCGUGCCAGCCGCCGCAGUAAAGC
rnacentral:rRNA from 1 species